rnacentral:lncRNA from 1 species
GUUUCAAAAUUCACUGCCAGUCACAGAUGUCUAUACUAUACUAAAUUGCUAACUUCGAUCUUUGACCUAUACAAGAGCUGUGUCCCGUCUAUUUUCCGGUUCGGCCAUGAAGACCGCCAAAACAUGGCGGCGGUGUGUGUUUGUAGUGCGUACGUGAGUAUCCGAUGCGUGUGUAAUAGUGCUGUACUGUAAGUAUGUGAUACCUGAUGUGUCUACACUGAUGUGUCGUAUCUACUGCUAUUUAUAUUAGUAAAACUGCAAAUAUAUAAACGAGAUAAUGCCAAGUACAUGUUGCAUUGUUAAUUGCAAUAAUACGAAUAAAAAAGGAUAUCACUUAUUUAAAUUUCCGAUAAAACGUCCAGAGAUUUUAAAAAAUGGAUUUGUGCAAUCGGAGGAAAUUUUACAC